rnacentral:rRNA from 1 species
UUAGAUUUUAUUUAUUAAUUUUGUUUAUUUGUAUUUAAAUUAUUAAAAAUAAUUAUAUAAUAAAAAGUUUUAGUAUUGUUUAAAGAAAAAAUAAAUUUAAUAAUAGUUUAAUAGUAUUGUAAAAGAAAAUUGAAAUAAUUUGAAAAAUUUUUAAAAUAAAAGAAAAUUUAAUUUAUUGUACCUUGUGUAUCAGCGUUUAUUAAAUAAAAAAUAAUUAAUUUAUUUUUCUCGAUUUUAAAAGAGUUAAUAUAAUAUAAAAGUUAAUGUGAUAAAAUUAUUUUAAAUAUUAUAUUAGAAAUGAAAUGUUAUUCGUUUUUAAAGGUAUCUAGUUUUUCAAGAAAUGAAUUUAAUUCAGAAAUUAUAAAUAUAUUUAAAAAAUUUUUUAAUUAAAUAAUUUAUAAUUUUAAUAUUUUAUGGGAUAAGCUAUAAAAUAAAUUUUUAAAAAUAAUAAAUAAAUUUAAUAAGUAUAUGCUUAGAAUUAGCAAUUACUUAUAAAUAUGUUAUAAUUUAUUUUAUAAAUAAAAUUAUUUAUUAUAUUUUAAAUAUUUAUUGAAAUAUUAAUUUUAAUUAAUAAAAUUAAGAAAUAAUGAUAAAAUUAGUAUAUAUUAUUGUAAAAAUAAAUUUAAAUGAAAAGUUUAUGUAAAG